rnacentral:rRNA from 1 species
UACGGAGGGGGCUAGCGUUGUUCGGAAUUACUGGGCGUAAAGCGCGCGUAGGCGGCUUUGCAAGUCAGAGGUGAAAGCCCGGGGCUCAACCCCGGAAUUGCCUUUGAGACUGCAUCGCUAGAACGUCGGAGAGGUGAGUGGAAUUCCGAGUGUAGAGGUGAAAUUCGUAGAUAUUCGGAAGAACACCAGUGGCGAAGGCGACUCACUGGACGACUGUUGACGCUGAGGUGCGAAAGCGUGGGGAGCAAACAGG